rnacentral:lncRNA from 1 species
UUUUCUUAACUUUUUUUUUUUUUUUUUCUCCUUGUCGCUAUAUAUAUAUAUAUAUAUUUUUUUUUUUAAAUAUAAUUAUUUAUUAUCUUACAUGUUUCAUAUAAAAAUUUGCCAACAAAACAAACAAAUGAAUUGUGUAGUUAGAAAUUAAAGAAUAGCUAUUUUUUUUUUUUUUUUUUUUUUUAUGUGUGUAAUUAACCGAUUUAUAAACAUUUAGGAUAAAAAAUAGUAACAUAUUUAAAGUUAAAAAAAGUAAAAUAAAAUAAAUAAAAUAAAAUAAAUAAAUAAAUAAAUAAGUAUAGACAAAACAUAUAUAGUAGUAGCUUAAUGAGAACAAAACAUACAUUGACAAUUAUUUUAUUUGAUUUUACUUUUUCUGAUGUAAAUUUUUUUAGUGUAUGAAACAGUAAGAUGUAUAUAUAUAAAUAUAUAUGUAUUCAUAAUGUUUAAUAAUUUACUGCCUACCAAGAAAAGUUUAAAUAUUUUUUUACACAUCAUAGAACUAAGUCGCUUUAACAAAUGCCUAUAUACAAAACAAGAAGUAAAUAAAAAUUGUAAAAGAGGCUUCGGUGUAUCCGGAAGUUACGGUUAUAGCAUUUUUGCAAAAGAAGGAGACUGUGACUCGAAUGUUGGAAAAAGUAAUUUACAUCAAUAUGAAGAAAAAUGUUUAGGUAAUGAUUUAAUAAAAAAAAAAAAUUUCUUUUAUACAAAAUGGCCUGGAAAAGUAUCAAAAUUGGGAGCGUCUUAUUUUUUUAAUAAAAAUUAUAAUAUGGGAUUUUAUCACAUGCUUAUAGAAGAAGAAGGAAGGAUUAAAAAAGAUAUAGCUUUAAUAUCAAGUACUAAUGAGCAAAGUUUACAACAUAAACAAAUUGAAAAUAAAAUGAAAGAUUUAUCAUGUGGCUACUCUGUUCAUAUAGUAUUAGCGGGAAAAGGUGUUAAAUGUUAUUACGAAGAUGUUAAUUAUACGCCUAUACGAGUAAAUUACAGAAAUAAUAUAAAACAGUAUUACACUUUUAAAAAUAAUAGAAAAGAUUUUAAAGCGUUAGAAGAUAAAACAGAUGGAGAUGUUAAUAAGAAUAAAAAUACACAUGAUGUUGUAAAUCAUGUAGAGCAAAAAGAAAAUAACAAUAAAACAAAAAAAGUUAAAAAACUAUUUGUCCGUUUAGGUAUAGGAACGAAAAAUAUUGAUAUUACAAGAGUGUUAACUAUGCAUAAAAAAUAUGUAAAUAUAAAUGUUGAUAAAACUGGUACAAUAAUAAAUGUAUAUGGAUAUAAUAAAAAGUACGUUGGAUCCGUUUCUCAUCGGUUAUAUAAAAUAGUAAAAAUGAAUGUUUAUACAAUGAAAGGUGGUUAUGUUUACCUACAUAAGCCAAAACAGAAAAUUC